UAGGGAAUCUUCGGCAAUGGGGGGAACCCUGACCGAGCAACGCCGCGUGAGUGAAGAAGGUUUUCGGAUCGUAAAGCUCUGUUGUUAAGGAAGAACGAGUGUGAGAAUGGAAAGUUCAUACUGUGACGGUACUUAACCAGAAAGGGACGGCUAACUACGUGCCAGCAGCCGCGGUAAUACGUAGGUCCCGAGCGUUGUCCGGAUUUAUUGGGCGUAAAGCGAGCGCAGGCGGUUAGAUAAGUCUGAAGUUAAAGGCAGUGGCUCAACCAUUGUAGGCUUUGGAAACUGUUUAACUUGAGUGCAGAAGGGGAGAGGGGAAUUCCAGGUGUAGCGGUGAAAUGCGUAGAUAUAUGGAGGAACACCGGUGGCGAAAGCGGCUCUCUGGUCUGUAACUGACGCUGAGGCUCGAAAGCGUGGGGAGCGAACAGG
rnacentral:rRNA from 1 species